rnacentral:rRNA from 1 species
AUUGAACGCUGGCGGCAUGCCUUACACAUGCAAGUCGAACGGUAACGCGGGGCAACCUGGCGACGAGUGGCGAACGGGUGAGUAAAGCAUCGGAACGUGCCCAGUAGUGGGGGAUAGCCCGGCGAAAGCCGGAUUAAUACCGCAUACGACCUACGGGUGAAAGGGGGGGAUCGCAAGACCUCUCGCUAUUGGAGCGGCCGAUGUCAGAUUAGGUAGGUGGUGGGGUAAAGGCCUACCAAGCCUGCGAUCUGUAGCUGGUCUGAGAGGACGACCAGCCACACUGGGACUGGGACACGGCUCAGACUCCUACGGGAGGCAGCAGUGGGGAAUUUUGGACAAUGGGCGCAAGCCUGAUCCAGCCAUGCCGCGUGCGGGAAGAAGGCCUUCGGGUUGUAAACCGCUUUUGUCAGGGAAGAAAAGCCUUGGGUUAAUACCCUGGGGUGAUGACGGUACCUGAAGAAUAAGCACCGGCUAACUACGUGCCAGCCGCCGCGGUAA